ACCAGGAUAUUCGGGAAUGCGUUCGGAAAUGACCCUGCAGGGCGUCGGCUGCGCCGUCUGAACAAAUUCCUGGAGCCAAAAGUGUAGCCCUAACGUCGCUUCCUAAAUAAGCCCGGGAGGCAUGCGGCCCAGGCAGCGAAGGCGAAGAUGGAAACAACGUCCUGGUUUCCAGAGCUUAUAAAACCAGGCUGGAGGAAGAGGCGACUAAGUGCUAGGUAGCCUGGCGUCUGCGUCUCCGGGUGAAGUGGGGUUGUGGGGCAGAGCAGGGUUAGGACCACGUUACCACAGGAAGGGGUGGCGGGAUGGUUUUUCUUAGCUCUGCAGCUGCCAGGGGCUGGGAUUUCCCUUCCUGAAGCUGGGGUAGAGGGGACACCUGCUUUCAAAACCGGCCUGAAUCAAGCAAAGAGAAUAAAACAACUUGGCGGUCAGUGUUUCCACCUAGAAAUUCCUGGGCUGGAACUGGUUUUUCCGGCAGUACCCUAGUCGCUGAAGCUUUCACAUGUUUGACAUGGCAUAUGUUUGCUAUUUAGCUGGUGCCCCUGAGCGAAUUCUUGGCUCUGCGCUGGAUCUGGAGUCUGCGUUCAUGCACGCUGGUGAAUUGGAAAUGAGAUUGCAAACAUCAGGAGGCACUGGGGACGGAAGGGAAGGAGGCAGUACGAAAGAGCCAGGAAUUAUGCCUACGACAAUAAAGAAUGUGAAUUGAUGAUUCCUGUUCCUGGACAGGAAGAGAUGGUGCUUGAACACUAAGAAGAAUCUUCAUAUGCACUGAUUGGAAAAGAAACUAAUAUGUUUCUCUUUUCUACUCAUCAUUCUGUCCCUUCAUCGAAAAAUCACCAUACUUUACAUGAGCCCAUGAAUUAGUAUUGUGUUUUAAAGAACCAAACUGCUAGCCUUAGAUGAGGCCCUGCAAAAUUAAUUGCCAAGUGCCCCUCAUACCCUGGUGAUGGCCUUGUUGGAUAGGAUACUUAUUAGUGGUACUCAGGAAAUAAGAUGCUCUCAGUGCUGCCUAUUGGAGAAUUUGUUUUGACCUUAGACUCAAAGCUGGAAUUAAUUCUCUCCAACAAAAAAGGGAAGGAAUAUGAAGCACUCUACUUCUCAGCAGAAAGAGAAAAUGAAAGAGGAAAAGGAUGAGGGAUAGAGACAGGAGGAGACACAUGGAAGAGAAGCCUGCUCAGCUGCAGACAUAGAAGAGAAAUCACCCCUGGGGUGGGAAGUUAUUGGAAGCAGGUAUUAUAUUUAGCUAAGAGCAUUAGCAAAAGAAAAUUCUUGGAAGUAGAACAACACGUUAUAUUUUAAAGUAUUUGCAUUAUGUGGUUGGGGAUACAUUCAGCAUCUUCUGUAACUGGUAAUCAAGAGCUUUUGGAAAAUGAUAUGUGCAUCCAUUCUGGAGCAGAUUUAUGUGUGACAGAUGACAAUGUGAGAGACAGCAUAUAAGGAUGGCUGAACAUGAACAAUGUGACACAAAGGUAAAUCCAUAUUAUCAGUGUACCAGGCACCACUCUUACUGAGGCAAUGUUUUCUUUUGUCCAGAUCUUUUAUGUCUCUAAUUCACUGUACUUUUUCAAAUAAUUAUUGACAGAUUCUUUACUCACAUUUGCUGCUGUAUUGUGUCCAUUUUUUCUCUGAGCUUGGAGGUUUGCAUUUAUUCAAAGCAAGCAGGUGCAUCCUUAGCAUAGCCUUAUCUACUUUGAGUUCUACUGUUCUUACUGUUUUUUGUCAGAUCAAACAAAAAGGUCCCUCUUGUUGUUUUCUGACUUUUUCUUAAGCCUCAGCCCAUUUUUGACUUUGAUCUUCUAGACACUCUUAAAGAUUCAUGUCAGUCUGUUGCAUUUCUCCUAGACUCUAUGCUCCUACUUUCUUUUUAAAAUAUGUACCUGUAAAACUUGUCCCCUCAGGGACUCCCUAUGUAGCCACCUUGGUUUCUUAGUGUCCUUUCUCUUGCUCUUACUAAUCAGAAUUGUGGGUUAUACCAGGUCUUUCUUGUUGAUUAAACAGCUGCUUGCUCAACUGGUUCGAUCCUUACUGCCAUCUUUCCUUCUCAGGUUUUUGGAACAGGAAUGUUCUUUUAUACCGAAAGAGCUAAAUCUCAAUAAUCAAGGUGUCAUAAAUACCUCAUGCUUGCUAUAGUUUAUAAAAUACAUUUGGGUGCAUUUUUCAUUGAAUUCCUCCAUUUUCUGCUAGUUUAUCAGCCAAGUUGUUUGCUAGUAAAAAGGCAGGAUUGAGGUUAGUAUGAUAAGUAGAUUGAAAUUAUCAAAGGGAUAACUUCAAAUCGUUAUUGGACAUUCAAGUAAAAGAAAAAGAAAAGGACCUUUGAAUGACUUCAUAAAACAAGUUAUUUCCCCAAAUCACAAAUAAUUCCUGAUUACUGGUUACUUUUCUUCAGAGACCUAAAAAAGAAUCACAGAGCAUUUAAACCACAGAACAAAUGCCAUGGGUAUUUGUAAAACUGGAAUUCACUAUGGGCAGUGAGGUAAGGGGCCUAUGGAAAAAUCUGUGUUAUUACUGGGAUUUUUAGGGGCCAAU
rnacentral:lncRNA from 1 species